CUCUGACCAUUGUUGGGAGUUGGACUACAGACUCUCAGCACAGAAUCCUGAACGGGUGGCCAUUGAAGACAAAUUGCAAAGGCUGUCAUGACCUCCAGGAGGAGGGGCUUCUAGCUUCAGAAAUCCCAGCGGAGAAACUUCGAGCCCCCAGGUCUGUGAAGAAGCUCUGUAGACACACGUCCAGCCAGGUGCCAGCUGGGAGCUGAGGCUGAGGUGCCUGUCACUGAAAUGCUGGAAGAGAAUCCAUAGCUUAAAAUGUUAUAUUUAGCCAAAGCCAGCUCCCAUUCCCCCCCACCC